rnacentral:misc_RNA from 1 species
UUUCCGUAGGUGAACCUGCGGAAGGAUCAUUAAAGUUAUAGUCCCCCGGCCCUCUGGGCUGGGGUCUUCUAUACCACCCUUUGUUUAUUACACCUUUGUUGCUUUGGCAGGCCUGCCCUCGGGCUGCUGGCUCCGGCCGGCUCGCGUCUGCCAGAGGACCUAAACUCUGUUUGUAUAUGAAGUCUGAGUACUAUAUAAUAGUUAAGACUUUCAACAACGGAUCUCUUGGUUCUG